rnacentral:tRNA from 1 species
AUUUAAAUAGCUUAAUAUAAAAGCUUAAUAUUGAAGAUAUUAAUAUGAUAUUUAUUAUCUUUAAAUA